rnacentral:lncRNA from 1 species
UAAAGACAUAACAAAGGUACGAUAUAUUACAACCAUAGUUUGAAACAAACUUAAUAGUGCAGGUUAGCAUGGUUCUAAGAGUUUAAAACAUAAACCAGUCCGGAAGAAAAAUAAACUUCUAAGUUUUAUUCUAGAGUAUCAUGAGACUCAUAAGAUACCCUAGGUCUUUGGGGCUUCCUCUUCAGUGAGUCCCUGCUGGUCUUCUGAAAACAACAACAAGGGAUCCCCUGAGUACGAAGUACUCAGCAAGUCUUACCCGACUAACCAAUAUAAUAACUUUCCUUGGAAGUGUAUGCUUAGCUUUUUUUGGUGUACUUGGCUAAUGCAAUUUUUGCCGAAAAGCUUACUACAAGUGAUGCCUUAGUUUUAUCUUUUAUUUGGGUUGUCAUUACCUAACCAUUCUAGAUGAUAACAGAAGUAAAAGCAAUCACAACUGUUAAAUCAUACAUUACUUGACAACAGAAGAUUUUAUAUUGCAUGAAGUAAUACUACGAUGCUCAACAGCGAUCAAGUGCAUUCAUAACCGAGAAUUGCGGCGAUCCGGAUCUAACUACAUCCUGCAGGAGAGUACCCUGAUCACCAGCAUUAUACGACUGUCCCGGUCGUAUCUAACAACCUCUCGAUUAGUAAAGUCAAUGAUUAGGAAUACGACUACCCGGACCCAGGGAUGCACCCCCACAUGGGACCCCACGUCUGGCCCGAUCUCCAUGUGAGUUUCAGGCUACACCCCUGCCAAUCUCCAGCACGUCAAGCGCGGGUACGAAGCAUUCCUGAUCAUAGAAUUUACUAAUCUACUGGGCUUUACUGGUCCCAUACCCAGUAAGUGAUCAGAUGCUUAUCACUUGACCAACAGUUAAGACACGAAUCGGGCCUUAACCAAAUUAAUCUAGCAGACAGAACUACAUCUCUAGCUUCUGUCCCUUUCCAUAUUCCAACUAUCCUUCAUAAGCAACAUGUAUGACUUAAGAGUUUUCCUUAAGGUCGGUAAACCAAGCAUGUAAGCAAGUAAGCAAUUCUAGACUUGGGUAGUUUCUAAGAUUUGAACAAGUGGCAAAGAUGUCCUUAAGUCAAGGCAUGAUCAUACACAAGAAUAGGUUUCAAUCAACUCCUAGACUUAGUGCAUACAAUAAGCAAAUAACCUAUGACUAGUCACAUGAAAUAACGACUCCAAAAUAGAUAGGUAUAAAUGCACCGGGGCUUGCCUGGGAUCAACAAAGGUUAGUUCUUCGGAAAACUUCUUUAUUAAAAGAGGCACUCCACAUUUCGCGAACGCUGUCCAUCUCCAGCUGAAUUCCAUAAAUUCCCACUUCAGGAGUUGUGCCGCCUACGAUUCAGUAUAUGCAAGAGUUAGAGAUGCAAAACUUUUAAAUACAAGACUAUACAACUUUCCUUCAUGAUAAAGUUGCAAGCCAACAAGGACUAUACAAUUUAUCAUGAUAAAGUUGCAAGCCAACACACAAAAACCCUAAAGAUUAACCCACCAUUUUUAUUUCCUUUACUAAACCUACCUUAGACCUCUUCUUUUAUUUUUAAAAGCAUUAUAAUAAUUUUCUAAUCUCAAAAACCUAAUUCCUAUGAAUUACUAAUGAUUUGUGGAUAAUAAAGCAUUUUUCAAGUUUUAUACAUUUAAUAAAGUUUAAGCAUUUAUUUAAAUACCUUAAAUAAAAAGGCAUUAAAUAAAUACCUAAAUUUUUAUUAUUUUUCCUAGGGUUUAAGAAUUUUAAUGCAUAAAGGAAAAUAAAAUAAUCCUAAUAAAAUUGGUUUCACUAAUUUUGGGCACUUCUAGAAUUUCCUGUGAAUUAAAUGGUGAAAACAGCAUUUAAUCUAUUUAUCUAAUAAAAGAAAACCUAAGGUUUAAUAAAAACCCCCGGCCCAAACUUUUCUCACUCGGCUUGCUUCUACCCACCAUCACUUCCACCUAGGGUCCAUCCGGUCUCCUAUUCUUCUUCUUCUUUUCUUCAUUGACAAGUGGGGCCCACGGCCGAAAUCUUCCCUUGGGCCAAAAGGUGGCCCGCCAACUCAACCUUCCACGCGUGGCCUUUUUGCGGCAGCCUUCUCUUUGGGCCGGCUCCCCCUUCUCUUCUUUUUCUCAACCCCGGCCGGCCCACCUUCUUUCUCCUUCACUUCUACCUGGGCUGCACGGCCCAAGCAACAUGACCGGCCUGCUCUUUCUUACAUGCCGACGGCCUAACUCCCUCCCUUUCAACCACCCGCCGGCCCUCUCUGUUCUUCGGCUAGCUGGGCCAUCGCCACCCCUUGGCCCACGACGGGCGGCCGGCUUUCUUUCUCCCUCUCACUCCCACCUGGGCCUCUCCUACCGCACACUGGCAACACGGCCCAAGCGCACAGACCGGCCUGCUUCUUUCCCUUCUUCUUCUAUGCCGCGCGGGCUUAGCUGGGCCGGCGUCUCUCUCUCGGCCCAAAACGGCGGUUGGCCUUUCUUCUUCUCCUUCUUCUCCUCACAACCCCCUGGCGCAUCUUCUUCCUUGCGCCAAAACAGGGGCACACGCCGGCGGGCAAAACGGGACGGGGUCCUGGCCAACGGCGGCUUGCCGGCGGCCGAGCCGACCGAGGCGGCGGCGCCCCAGGCCAACCGCCAGCUCGCCGGGAGGCGGCCCGAGCCGGCCCCUCCACGGGCGGCUGCGGCUUGGCCAACCGCCGGCCAUGGCGGCGCACGGAGGCGGCACGAGGACGACCGGCGGCGCACUCUACGGCAUCCACAUGACCCAAGCACCCCCUAAACCGGAUCAAACGAGUGAAAGAAGGGGCGGUGCGGAGGGCUCACCGGAGGACAGUGGUGGUGGCGGGCGGACCGGUACGGCGGUGAUUCGGAGCUUCGACGGCGAGGAAUUACUGAACGGAGCAGCGUGGGGCGUUGAGGAGGAGCUGACGGAACCUUGGGCGGAUGGAAUUGCAAAGAGAGGCGGCGGCGUGGGUGAAUUCGGCCGGCGGCGGUACUGAUUUGCUUGAGCUCGGUUCCUGGCGAUGUAAGCGGCG